rnacentral:rRNA from 1 species
UUUAUUGGAGAGUUUGAUCCUGGCUCAGGAUGAACGCUGGCGGCGUGCCUAAUACAUGCAAGUCGAGCGAAUGGAUUAAGAGCUUGCUCUUAUGAAGUUAGCGGCGGACGGGUGAGUAACACGUGGGUAACCUGCCCAUAAGACUGGGAUAACUCCGGGAAACCGGGGCUAAUACCGGAUAACAUUUUGAACCGCAUGGUUCGAAAUUGAAAGGCGGCUUCGGCUGUCACUUAUGGAUGGACCCGCGUCGCAUUAGCUAGUUGGUGAGGUAACGGCUCACCAAGGCAACGAUGCGUAGCCGACCUGAGAGGGUGAUCGGCCACACUGGGACUGAGACACGGCCCAGACUCCUACGGGAGGCAGCAG